GACGAACGCUGGCGGCGUGCCUAAUACAUGCAAGUAGAACGCUGAAGCGAGGAGCUUGCUCUUCUUGGAUGAGUUGCGAACGGGUGAGUAACGCGUAGGUAACCUGCCUUGUAGCGGGGGAUAACUAUUGGAAACGAUAGCUAAUACCGCAUAACAAUGGAUGACACAUGUCAUUUAUUUGAAAGGGGCAAUUGCUCCACUACAAGAUGGACCUGCGUUGUAUUAGCUAGUAGGUGAGGUAAUGGCUCACCUAGGCGACGAUACAUAGCCGACCUGAGAGGGUGAUCGGCCACACUGGGACCGAGACACGGCCCAGACUCCUACGGGAGGCAGCAGUAGGGAAUCUUCGGCAAUGGGGGCAACCCUGACCGAGCAACGCCGCGUGAGUGAAGAAGGGUUUCGGAUCGUAAAGCUCUGUUGUAAGUCAAGAACGGGUGUGAGAGUGGAAAGUUCACACUGUGACGGUAGCUUACCAGAAAGAGACGGCUAACUACGUG
rnacentral:rRNA from 1 species